rnacentral:rRNA from 1 species
GAUGAACGCUGGCGGCGUGCUUAACACAUGCAAGUCGAACGAAGCACCUUACUGACGAAGCAAUUAGCUUGCUAAGAGUGGAAUCGCCGAGGUGACUGAGUGGCGGACGGGUGAGUAACGCGUGGGUAACCUGCCUUAUACCGGGGGAUAACAGUUAGAAAUGACUGCUAAUACCGCAUAAGCGCACGGUGUCGCAUGACACAGCGUGAAAAACCCCGGUGGUACAAGAUGGACCCGCGUCUGAUUAGCCAGCUGGUGAGGUAACGGCCCACCAAAGAAACGAUCAGUAGCCGGACUGAGAGGGUGAACGGCCACAUUGGGACUGAGACACGGCCCAAACUCCUACGGGAGGCAGCAGUGGGGAAUAUUGGACAAUGGGGGAAACCCUGAUCCAGCGACGCCGCGUGAGUGAAGAAGUAUUUCGGUAUGUAAAGCUCUAUCAGUAGGGAAGAAAAUGACGGUACCUAACUAAGAAGCCCCGGCUAACUACGUGCCAGCCGCCGCAGUAA